CAGAGGUAUGCAGGGCUGCCCUGUGUCCAGUUGCAACAGAGGUAUGCAGGGCUGCCCAGUAUCCACUUGCAACAGAGGUAUGCAGGGCUGCCCUGUGUCCAGUUCCAAAAGAGGUAAGCAGGGCUGCCCUGUGUCCAGUUGCAACAGAGGUAUGCAGGGCUGCCCUGUGUCCAGUUGCAACAGAGGUAUGCAGGGCUGCCCUGUGUCCAGUUGCAAAAAAGGUAAGUAGGGCUGCCCUGUGUCCAGUUGCAACAGAGGUAAGUAGGGCUGCCCUGUG